rnacentral:rRNA from 1 species
GAUGAACGCUGGCGGCGUGCCUAACACAUGCAAGUCGAGCGAACCCUUCGGGGUGAGCGGCGGACGGGUGAGUAACGCGUGGGCAACCUGCCCUAUACACACGGAUAACGUACCGAAAGGUACGCUAAUACGGGAUAAUAUUGUUGGAUGGCAUCUUCUAACAAUCAAAGCUCCGGCGGUAUAGGAUGGACCCGCGUCUGAUUAGCUAGUUGGUGAGGUAAUGGCUCACCAAGGCGACGAUCAGUAGCCGACCUGAGAGAGUGAUCGGCCACACUGGAACUGAGACACGGUCCAGACGCCUACGGGAGGCAGCAGUUGGGAAUAUUGCACAAUGGGCGAAAGCCUGAUGCAGCAACGCCGCGUGAGCGUUGAAGGUCUUCGGAUCGUAAAGCUCUGUCCUCAAGGAAGAUAAUGACGGUACUUGAGGAGGAAGCCCCGGCUAACUACGUGCCAGCCGCCGCCGUAA